GGGGUUGACUGGUUUUGACAGCGUGUAGAGAUGGUGUGUAAGCAUGCAGAGCCAUGAUGCCUGUGCUCUUAAAACUUGGACAUCAGCAAUUUUAAAUGGCGAAAAUAACUACGCUCUUGCUGCUUAAUUGAAGUACAGUAGAUUAGCUUAAUCGCUCCAAAAGUUGGAGCGACAAGACAUCGCCCGAUUGUCCUUUUUCCGAGACUAAUCGAUCAGGCGGUGCAGGUAAAUCGGGAAUAGGGAGCCGAAAG
rnacentral:tmRNA from 1 species